AUGGUGCCGCGCACACCUCCACGGCUACUCCGCGGCAACGCGGUGUUCCCGGCGGAAGGCGGCACCCACGCGCGACCGCGGGCUCCCGGCAGCGCGUCCACAGGAGCAACCGACGGCCAGUGCUUGGAGCGGCAGCUCUGUCCUGCGCGGCAGUCAGGGCAGAAUGAGAAAGAACAGAGGCUGUGGAUCUCCAUCGAUUCAAGAAUUUUGGCCUCAACAAUGAACGCCAAUGGAUUCCCAUCGAUUCAUUGUGCAAAAAGGAAAAAGCAUCGUCAGCGGGGCCCGCGUCCAUGCACCUUGCACACACACGGCUGUCCAGCGAUGCGUCGAGGUGUCUGCCGGCCUCUAACGCGAGGCACGACUGCGUGGCCUUACCUCUCAACGCGGAGGCACUGCGCGGACCUCGACGAAACGGCAACGCCCUCCGGCGCACCAGCCAUGAUGUGGCGGCGCGGCCUCGGCGCGAGGCCGCCUAAAGCGUGA
rnacentral:rRNA from 1 species